rnacentral:lncRNA from 1 species
GGAAAAAAGUUCAGUUUAGGGUUUAAAACCUUAAUGCUGACUAAAGGAAAAAUUCAGUUUAGGGUUUAAAACCCUAAUGUUGAUUGCAUGGAAAAGCUCAGUUUAGGUUUAAAACCCUAAUGCUGGCUGAAAGGAAAAAAAGUUCAGUUUAGGGUUUAAAACCCUAAUGCUGAGUAAAGGAAAAAUUCAGUUUAGGGUUUAAAACCCUAAUGCUGAUUGCAUGGAAAAGCUCAGUUUAGGGUUUAAAACCCUAAUGCUGGCUGAAAGGAAAAAAAGUUCAGUUUAGGGUUUAAAACCUAAUGCUGACUAAAGGAAAAAUUCAGUUUAGGGUUUAAAACCCUAAUGCUGAUUGCAUGAAAAAGCUCAGUUUAGGGUUUUAAAACCCUAAUGCUGGCUGAAUGGAAAA